rnacentral:rRNA from 1 species
UGGGGAAUAUUGCACAAUGGAGGGAACUCUGAUGCAGCGACGCCGCGUGAACGAAGAAGGCUUUCGAGUCGUAAAGUUCUUUUAUAUGGGAAGAUAAUGACGGUACCAUAAGAAAAAGCCCCGGCUAACUACGUGCCAGCAGCCGCGGUAAUACGUAGGGGGCUAGCGUUGUCCGGAAUCACUGGGCGUAAAGGGUUCGCAGGCGGAAAUGCAAGUCAGGUGUAAAAGGCAGUAGCUUAACUACUGUAAGCAUUUGAAACUGCAUAUCUUGAGAAGAGUAGAGGUAAGUGGAAUUUUUAGUGUAGCGGUGAAAUGCGUAGAUAUUAAAAAGAAUACCGGUGGCGAAGGCGACUUACUGGGCUCAUUCUGACGCUGAGGAAGGAAAGCGUGGGUAGCAAACAGG